GGGACCGUUUGGGAUUCGACGCCGGUCGCGAAACUUUAGGUGCAUGCCGAGUUGGUAACAGAACUCGUAAAUCCACUGUUGCAACUUCUUAUAGUUGCCAAUGACGAAAACUACGGCCAGGAAUUCGCUCUCGCUGCGUAAGCAGCCUUAGCCCUGAGCUUCUGGUACCUUCGGGUCCAGCAAUCACCAGGGGAUGAGAUCGGAAGAGCGGGUCAGCAGGAAUGCCGAGACCGAGAUC
rnacentral:tmRNA from 1 species